GGAAGCGCGCGGUCGGCUGGUGCCACCCCCGGUCUUCAAAAUCGGUGCGGGGCAGUUCCGCUGUCCUGGGCAGGUUCGAUUCCUGUGCGCUUCCG
rnacentral:tRNA from 5 species